rnacentral:rRNA from 1 species
CGGAGGAAAAGAAACCAACAGGGAUUGCCCUAGUAACGGCGAGUGAAGCGGCAACAGCUCAAAUUUGAAAUCUGGCCUCGGCCCGAGUUGUAAUUUGUAGAGGAAGCUUUAGGCGCGGCACCUUCUGAGUCCCCUGGAACGGGGCGCCACAGAGGGUGAGAGCCCCGUAUAGUUGGAUGCCUAGCCUGUGUAAAGCUCCUUCGACGAGUCGAGUAGUUUGGGAAUGCUGCUCAAAAUGGGAGGUAAAUUUCUUCUAAAGCUAAAUACCGGCCAGAGACCGAUAGCGCACAAGUAGAGUGAUCGAAAGAUGAAAAGCACUUUGAAAAGAGGGUUAAAUAGCACGUGAAAUUGUUGAAAGGGAAGCGCUUGUGACCAGACUUGCGCCGGGCGGAUCAUCCGGUGUUCUCACCGGUGCACUCCGCCCGGCUCAGGCCAGCAUCGGUUCUCGCGGGGGGAUAAAGGCCCCGGGAACGUAGCUCCUCCGGGAGUGUUAUAGCCCGGGGCGUAAUGUCCUCGCGGGGACCGAGGACCGCGC